CUAUAUUGUUGUUCAUCAUCUUUUUCCCAUCUUCCAGCCGCCACUUAUCUCCGCCUCUAUUCCUUUCAUCGGGAGUUUAACCCACAAAUAUUCCAGAUCAUGGGUGCACCACCAUCAAAACCAUGCUUCUGUAUCACCUUUCUCUCCCCAUAUAUGUCAUCGAUCCAUCUCAAUCUCAUCGUCUCUGGAAAAAUGUUAACCACGAUGUCGUCACCAGAAAAUGUGAACCAGGAAAAAUCAGCACCGCCUUUCUCAUUCUUUCUCCUUAGUCUUCAUCGACUCCAUCUCCAUCUUAUACCUAAUGAACCAUGGACCAGGAAGUCAAUGCUUAGGGACUUAGGGUUUGUUGAACCGAUCUUGCAUAAGGUGUAUCUGGUUUGUUUAUCGAUCUUGUAUUGGUGUAUUGCAUCUGGGUUCACGAUUCUAGGACACUUCUGGGAUAAAAAUCAAAUUUGAGUAUACGUUCUGGGUAAUUCUAACACCGGUGGGAGGUGGUUAAGCCGGUUGUGGUUAAUGACAGCGGAAGGUGAUUAAGGGAGGCGAUUUCUUCUCAAUCGCUCAUCUUCCAGUAAAUUUAACCCCACCGCUGCCAUCUUUCAACUUCGACGGAAACCACAACCAUCUUUCAACUUCGACGGAAACCACCACCAUCUACCGGUAAACAUAACACCAUUGCUAACAUCCCUUUUUCUUCUUCUUCCCUCUCAACAUCCAAACUCUGACUCUCGACUUUUUAGGUGGGUUUCAUGGCGGUAACUGAGUUUGGGGGUUUGAUUUGGUUAAGGUUUUUUGUUUUUUAAGAUUUGAUUUUGGUUUGAUUUUUAGAAAGGUUAGUUGAUUUUCAGGUUUGGAGUUAGAUUGCAGUUUAAGGUUUUAUUUGGGUGGUGUUAUAGGUUGUGGAUCUAUUUUCCAGUGGCCAGUGUUGGUUGUCGGUAGCUGAUGGUGGCCAAUGGUCGGAGUGAUUAGAGUGGGAGGUGGAGUGGGAGUGCAAGUGGUCCCACCUAUCAAUAAAUCGAAUAAUUUGUUUUCUUUAAAUAAAAAAUAAAAAAAUUAACAAGGGUAUUAUAAUCAUUUCUUAUCGGACAGGGACUUACGCGGUAACAAAAUCAAAAUCUAAGGACAGUCCGAGUGCAAAAAAAAAAAAGAAUGGACCAAACACGUAAUUUUUGACAAACCGACGAUUUCAGUAAUUUGUUCUAAACAAAUAUAUGAAAGUGCAUAUGUAUUAUUUUCAUUUAAACCCAGAAAAAAGGGGAGCAACAACGGUAGGGGCAUGUCUUGAAAUUAGAAAGUUCUUUUUAUAACAUAUAUAAUUUCUUUAUUUUAUUAACUUAUAGGAAUAUGACCUGCGAUGGUAAUUACCUUUUUAUCUUGCUCACGUUUAGGUAAUUUCAUUUUUUUUAUCCAUUUGACCAUUUAACUUGUUAAAUAUGUUCACAGGUGGCAAUGGUAAUAUGUGAAUAUAUUUAACAAAUUAAAUUGUCAAAUAUAUAUAAAAAAACAAAGUUGUCUAAAUGUGAAUAGUUUUUUUUUUACAAAUUUCUUAAAUUUUUUAUAAUUUCUUACAACAUUUUUAUGAUAUUUUUUCACAUUCUUUUUUUUUUUACAAAUUUUUUACAACAUUUUUAUGAUAUUUUUUUUUUCUUAUAAAUUUUUCUAAUACAAUGUUUUAAACUUUGUUUAUAUUUUUUUUUCGACUUUUUUUAUAUUUUCAUAUAAUUUUAAUACAAGUGUUUUUAAACCAAAUAUUUUAUAACUGUUUUAGAAUUCUCUUACAAGUUUUUUACUUUUUAUUUUAUUUUAUUAUUUUUUUUUAACAUUGUCAUUCAAUUUUUCUAUAACUUUCAUACAUUUAUUUCUAAACUUUCUUUACAAUAUUUUUAAAGUGUUUCAAAGAUUUUGUAUGACAAUUUAAUAUUUUUUAUAACAUUUUGAAAUACUUUCGUUAAAUACUAGUUUAAAACAUUGUAUUAAAAAAAUUAAAAGUUUAUAAACUUCUAAGUAAAAGUAUUAAAAAGUUGGAAUAAUUUGUAACGCCCCGAUUCUCAUGUAUUGUUCAAUUAUAGUUUCUAGGUUUUGGCCCUACUCGACGAGUUGGUUGCCCUACUCGUCGAGUAGCAGCGGGAUUGGAUCGCAAAUUAAGUGACUGACUCGGCGAGUCCACUAGUGGGACUCGGCGAGUCCACUAGUGGGACUCGGCGAGUAGGAGCUGGCAAGUGAAACCCUAAUCCCCGGGGUUUGUGUCCCUAUUCAAAGGAGCCUUAGCCUCCUUUGGGCCUCUUUACAGUCUUAGAGAGUCCCUGAAAGGUCUGAUUCGAGUGUGUGUGCUUUGGUGAGUGUGUGAAGCUUGAUUUGAAGAUUUUGGAAGGAGAAGGCUUGAAGGAAGAGGAGGUAGGAGCAAGUAAGGUAGGGAAAUCAUCACUAUUCUCAGUUUUCAUCUUCCAGAGGUAUCCUCAAUCACCAUCUUUUCUGUGAGUUUCCUUUCUAUGAAGUUCUAGGGUUUUCUUUGGACUUUAAGGGUUGAUAAAUUGAACAAUGAGUUGGAUCUGAAGUUGUAAUUUCAGAUCUGAACCCUCCCUAAGCUCCAGCAACAUAAAGUCACAGAAUUGAUCAUGUAUGAGGUCCCUCAUGGGCAUGAAGCCCCAUUAAGAGCUUAGAUUUGGCAUUUAGAGCCUUAAAAGCAAUGCAUGUACGUAAAGUUUGUGACUUUACGCGAUACGUAUGCCAUAGAAGCUAGAUCUAUGAAUUGGAGCCACCGCAUGGACCAGAAUAAGUCUAUAUGGAAAAAGGACCGAACGGACUCAGGGAAUCACAAGGAUGACUCGGCGAGUCUAAUGAAGAAAGCCAUGAACUCGACGAGUUGGAUGAACAACCCGGCGAGUCCGAUGAAGAUCGUCAUGAAACUUGGCGAGUUGAUGAACAACUCGGCGAGUCGGAUGAACUUCCCCCAAAGAUAUGAACACAUAUGUACCCGUCGAGUUUUGCUUAGGAAACCCGACGAGUGGCUUUAGAGUUCAGUCGAAAAACAAGGGAAACUCGACAAGUCACUCAAUGACUCGGUGAGUGCACCGGAAGCCAAGGAAACUCAGCGAGUAGCCGAGGGAACUCGGCAAGUCAGGUCAACAUGGACUAUUGACCUUGACUGUUGACUUUGACCAUUGACCCAGGUUGAUCUGUUGACUUUUGAGGACAGUUCUAGAUGAAUCAGAAACUUACAUAUACAACUCGUGAUGAAUAUAGGUGGUGAAGUUCGUGAUAGUGACCUGAGGGUUGGAGCUUAUUUCUGUGAGUCGACGUUGCAAGGUGAGUUAUCCUCACUAUACUAAGGGGUCUAAGGCACCAAGGCCGACCCAUUGGAUUUGAUAUCCUAGUAGUUAUUGUUAUGUUGAGUCUGAGUUAGUGAUGCAUGCCAAUUGAUGUGCUAGUCGGGUAGAUCUAUAGGACUGCUGGUGAUACUGAUUGAUUACCUGUAUGUGUAUUUAUCUGUUACAUGUCGACAUGUUAUGUGGGGUGGGUUGAAGCUGUACUGCUCCGUGCGGUAGCCAACAAACCCGAGAGUAUUCCAGAUAUGAUUUGAGGGCCCGGUAGGCAUUCCAGACUCAUACUGAGGACUCGAGAGCAUUCCAGAUAUGAGCUGAGGGCCCGAUAGGCAUUCCAGACUCGUACUGAGGGCUCGAUGGCAUUCCAGAUACAAGCUGAUGGCCUGGUAGGCAUUCCAGACUCGUACUGAGGGCCUAGGGGUAGUCCAGCUUGUAAAGCUGUGGACCCAGUGCAUGAUGUUCUGUUUUUAUUGAUAUAAUCUGCUAAUGUUGAUAUUGCUAUGUGAACUGUAUGUGUAUCGGUAUUUUGGGGUAACUCACUAAGCUUUCAGGCUUACAGUUUCAGUUUAUUGUUUCAGGUACCUCAGGGGAUCGCGGCAAGGCCAAGGCGUGAUCGUACAGCUCCUCCUAUUAUGUUAUGUUUCUGAGAAAAGACUAUGAUAAUCAAUGUUUUGAAAACAAAGUUGUAAUAUAUUGAUGAACUUGACAUGUUUUUAAAAGUUUAAAUUUAUUUGAAAUUUUGAAUGUUACAAGUUGGUAUCAGAGCCUUGGUUUGAGUGAAUAGGAGGAACAUUCGUGUGAAUCCAGUCCCAAAUCAAGGAACGGUUUUCAAAAAUGUUUUAAGAAAAAUGGU
rnacentral:lncRNA from 1 species